CGUUUAACUGUUCUUCAGCUCAAAGAGCUAUCACAAAGCUGACUGCCUAUUCCUGAAGCCCACAUACAAUAAUACUGUAUCGAUGGCUGUCCCUCGUAUGAGUGACCACAUGAACAUGUCUGGUCUCGUCAGAUGAUGGAUUAUGUGGAGGCAAUUUACAGCUGAUGCAUUCUAGGCAUCAGCUGGGGAAAAGUGACUUUGUGUCCAAGAAAUAUAGUGGUUUAUACCAAUAAUCCAAAAGUGGGCACAGGAUAAUUUCCUUGCUCCACAGGAAAGGUUUGAUCACAGAUUAGUCAACCUUUGUUCAGCUCUGCAGAGCUUGAGACCUUUGAAUUUCCUUCUGUCUGAUACAUCUGUGGUUGUCAGAUACAGCUUUUCAAGAGCUAUAAAUAAGUUACUUCAUGAAAACAGAGGAGAUACCAUAUAAAAACUUCUGCAAUUUUGGCUGCUUGGCCAUUUCCUCUUCCCUCCGCCUACUCGAGAUGACAGAAGACAGCCCAGUCAGCCUCGUAUCUCCUCGUGCCUGUCACAGACCAAAUGGACAACUGGACUGUUCCUGCUGUACAACAGGGUACAUAACGUGUUGACAGCAGUUGCUCUCUGUAGGAUGGGAGAAGGCAGCAGCUCAGUUACCUCUAGCUUCUGUAGCAGUCCUGGCUCUCUUUGUGCUGGGGAAGGCCCAAGAGAUGCACUCAGUCUCUGCACCUUGAAGGAUGGAAGGCAAGUGCUGAGGAUAUGGCACAGAAAAUAUGUGACCCUGGCUAUGGCUGCUGUGGGUGCUGAGGAUGAAUCAGAUGCAUAGCGUGCAGCAGCCUUUAACUUGGAUUUAAUUUAAGUACUUUGAAUUUAAUCUACGGUAUGGUGUUUAAUACCAAGAUAAGUCUCUAAGAUGCACUGGCUACUACACAAGUGCAAUCAAUACUUUCUUUCCAAAAAACCCAAAACAUUUACCAAGUAGCUUGUCUAGAGCUUUGACUUUUGGUGCUUAGUUUUUGUUGGACGUGUUUUUUCCUUAAACAUUAAAAUUGAAAGUUUUUUUGACUGUAUAAACUCUUAAGACAGAUGCACUACACGAUAACCAUUUUCAGUUGGACAUCUGUAUCGGGAGAGUUGUUGCAGAGCGCCAUGGUUCCUUUCUGCCUGCUUAUCAGCUUUCCAUGCAGGGUGCCCCAGUGUGUGCGCAGCUCUUCUCCUGACUUGAUCUAAUGAAGGUUUUAGCUGUAGUCAGUGUAUGUAUUCAAUAUUGUAAAAAGUGCUUAUCAAAGCAAAAUCAUCUAAGCUCAUGUUUAAAUCUACUGUAGGUUAGUCAAGCACUGUGCUGAAUCAGUGAAGAUAAAAUAUUUGGCAGGUUUGAGCUGAGUCUAUGUUUGCUGUUCACUAAUGAUUUAUUUUUGACAGUUUUAGACCUGCCUGUACGGUUCAGCAAAAUAGACCCAGAAUGAAAGUUCUUACAUUGUUCGAUGAAUUACAAGUGCAUGCAGUGUAACUCUGCGGCAUCCUUAGGGAUAUAGAAAUGGGGAUAUAUUGCACUUCUUGCUUCAAUUCUUUGGUUGUCAUAAAAUAUGCAAAGUUAAUAGUUUCACAGACUCCAGAGGGUUGUUUUACAUAAUGAAAACACAGGCCAGACAAUGUCUUUUAGGUAGGACAACUUAGCUUGAAGUUGACAGUGCUAACAAAAUUAAUCUUCCAACAUUUUUAUGCUUCAGGUCUUCGUUGCUAAAUACUUUGUAUUUUUCCAUAGUAAGGAAUUCCAUAGUAAGUCACACAUUCCUUGUGCAGCUCCCAGAGCACUCUUUAACUGCAUUUGCUUCUAAAAAAGCAGUGGCUGUGUAGUUUACUUUUAACUUUAGAAAUUGGUUUUGAUUUGAAAACUAUUGAUUAUCAUAGCCAAAUAGGAAGCUUUCUCUGUAUUUUUCUGCACUGUACUGUAAUUUGUCUUUUUUCAAGUUAAGUAUGUUUAUGUGUAACAGCUUUUUGGCUUUUCCAAGUUCUUGUUAAGCUUCUGUGAAAACACAAAAGUAAUAAAGCAAAAAUAAAAACCUAAAACAUGGCAGUAAAAGCAAAACUGAUACUUAAAAGGUGGAUUCUGUUGGCUGCAAGCUGGGAAGUUCUGGCUGCAAAAUUAAUUCCUUGCUGGUAAAGAACAUUUCUAUACCCCCUGACAAAAAUGAUCCUGCGUUUUCAUCAGACUUUUAAUUUGUUGUUAACCAUGCUUAUGGUAACAUCUUCACCAAGUGAGAGUUUUUGUGGAAGGAACUGCAGGCAUAUUUUUGUUUUUAAAGCACAGUCAUUUGUAUCUGUGGUUUGAGAGUUCUAUGAAGAAGCUUUGUAAUAAGUGCAAAGGUGUACUGCCCCUCUCUGUAUGCACACUUACAGGAACCAGGACUCACCAUUUACAGACAAAAACAAGAUAACUUCUGAAGGUACCAGGAUGUAUUAUUGUGGUAUAUUUUAAAUAAUUGAUUCAGCUUGUUAAGACAUGGGCUUAUAAGUAAACUCUUUGCUUUUUUUAUCCUCAUUUUGUUUCUUACUUUGCAGUACUACGACACACAAUUAGCCAUUUCCCUGCCAUUCAUGUUCUUAUUUCUACACUUAGCUCUCUAACUGUGCAGUUUGAAUGUUAAGGCUUUUUCCAGCUUCAUCCCUUCCCCCCAGUUACUCUCAUCUCACAAUGUCGUGAACAACUUCUGUGCAAGGAUUUUUUUUUCACUCUACUACAGUAAAUGGUGAUAGCUUUGUAGCACCUUCUCCAUUCUCUUGGAUUCUACAGAGCCCUCAGGAGUUGGGAUUUUGUUUAAGGGAUGGGAAGAAGGCUGGCAGAAGGUUUCCAGUGCCACAGAGAAUAUGUUGAAGAUAUAUUUUGGAUUGGUGGAACAUGAUCAAUGGGUUCUUUUUGUCUGUACACUUUGUUUGUACUGUGCAACACAACUCCCUCCUCUCUGCUCUGAUUCUGAAUGUGCUUUUGGAGAGAGCAUUGUACUAAAGCACUCGUUUGUGAACUUUCCAGUUCCAGGAAUAAUAUGCCUCUCAGUUGUUUCUCAGUGAUGUAAGUUGCACUCCUCUUCUGUGGUUUCAUUGACUGAUGUUGGGGAAGUUGUUCAAUCAAAUUUCUCCAUGUUGCGUUACCAAAACAAUUGAUACUUGUCUGUCCUCAGGAAAAAUACCAGUUUGCAGGUUAAAGCCAUAACUACAGUUAAUUUCAGUGUGAAGAUGAAAGUUGGUGUGGUUUAACCCUGGUAGGCAGGUAAGCCCCACACAGCCGCUCGCUCACUCCCCCUCAGUGGGCCAGGGAAGAGAAUCAGAAGGGUAAAAGUGUGAGAACUUGUUUACGCUUUCUGUCUCUUCCCCCUCCUGUGCUUGUGGCUGCUGUGCUGCAGAACAGGCUGCUGCUUCUGAGGCUCCUUCCUGCUCCCUGUAACACGCUCUGGUCAAACCUUUCAUUGUCUUGAACGCUUUGAGCCCCAUAAUGGGCAUCAAAAAGGGUUGUUGUUAAAUCCCAGUAGGCAGCUAAGUCUCAUGCAGCUGCUCGCUUACUCCCCUUCCAGUGAGUUGAGGGGGAUAACUAGUAGGGUAAAAGUGAGAAAACUCAUGGUUUGAGAUAAAGAGAGUUUAAUAAGUUUAAAGAAAAGGGGGGGAGUUAAAAAAAAAGAAAAACAAGACCAGGAAAAACAAGUGAUGCAAAAAAACCUAACUGCUCACCCCCAGCUGACUGAUGCCCAGCCAGUUUCUGAGAAAUGUCAGCCCUGGCAAAGUUCCUCCUCAGCUUUUAUUGAUAAGCAUGAGGUCAUGUGGUGUGGUCAGUUGGGGCCAGCUGUUCCAGCUGUGUCGCCUCCCAGCUGCUUGUGCCCCCCCAGCCUGCUCCCGGUGGGGUGAGAAGCAGAAAAGCCCUUGGCUCUGCAGGAGCUGCUCAGCAAUAGCUGAAACAUCUCUGUGUUGUCAAUGCUGUUUUCAUCAAAAAACCUAAACAUAGCCCCAUACAAGCUACUGUGAAGAAAUUUAACUCUAUCCCAGCCAAAACCAGUACAGCUCUUUACUCAAACCAGGUACACUUUGUUAUGUUUAUGAUUAAAGUUGUGAACUUUUAUCUGGCAAACAGUUUUGUUUCUUGGCUUAUGUUUCCCAUUCAUUUUAAGGAAUAUAUGCAUGACAAUGUAGCUGUCAAUGUAUUUGUCAAGUCUAAAAGGCAUAGAAGUGACUAGCCAGCACGUGUAUUGUAUAUGCACUUCAUAACUAGUCUGUAUUCUAAUGAGAAAUAUGCACUCCUUUUUACAUAGUAAAGUGAUAUUUUGGUACACCAACUGGAAUUUGAGGGUCCACUGUGGAUUUGAAUAAAGAAGGAAAAUGAGGUUCAUGCAGGUUAUGUGAAGAUGUGUGUUGACUUAAGCUCUGCUUACAGAAAGAAGAAUAAAUAGCAUGAUUUUCAUGUUGAAAUUCAGCUGAAGACUCAACUAAUUGCUGCAAUUGGCCCUGAUAGGAAGCACUGCUAAGAGAAAAAGUAAGAGACACUGUAAAGAGACUAAUUAUACGGUCAUUUGACAUGUCACAGUGUAACUUUCAGCAGACCUCCCAAGAUGCUUCAGGACUGUUUGCUCUUCAGCAAUAUUGUUCUGCAGAGCCUGGCAUCUUACCUUCAAAUGUGGGAAAAUUGAUUGCAGAAAAAAUUGUGUAAGGAUUAAAUAAUUUUAAAACAUGCUACCUGCUUUUGGGUUUUGGUCAGUAGUAAUUGUUUCCUACAUGACAGUGCUGUCUAGUUUCAGAUCCCUUUCUGACCCAGUUGAUACAUCCGACCUUUAACAUCUUGAAGCACUGAUUUACAUAGUUGUGAAAAUCCAUAAGUAUUUUCACUUGUCUGGUUGCUUUUUGGGGUUGUUUCUUUCUUCUAACUGCUACUCCCUUAAUGUCACACUCUUGACAAGGAUCAUAUAGACAUACCUGCUCCCCUCUUCUGUGCCGUAUCUGCUAUUCUAGGCUUGCUCCCUUUCAGAUUUUCAUUUCUGAGCUGAAGAGUUAUUUAUUUAAUGUAGUCUGAAUAUAAUCUGUAUCAUAUAAAUUAUACAACAGCACAAUGAUGACUUCUCAGUUUUCUUCCUACUAACAGUCUACUUGCACUUCUGUUGCUGUUGAGGAGAGAGUUGUAUCUUGAACUUUGUUUAGGUUUAACUACCCCAAAAAAUUGUGUGUUUUCUGAAAACUUUGUCAUCUCCUCAUUCUCACUCAUUCCAGAUUGCAGUGUUAAACAUGUUUGUAAACUUACCUAUUUGCAGAUUCUUGAGGAAUAUCAUGAAGAAAGAAGACACUUUAUUUUUAAGCUUUCUUUCCAGUUUUUAACCAAUUGCAAAACAAGAAUUAACACCUGACAUCUGAGGGUUUCUUAGAGCCUUUAGUAAGUGACCUUGCUGAAGUCCAAGUAUACCAUAUCACCUUUAUCCUGAUGCUUCUCAGCUCUUCCUGAGAGCUCCUCUGAUACUGAUUUUCUGGUAGAUUGGCUUCCCUCAAACAAAUCUAUUCUCUUUUCCCUAGGGUACCUUAUAUGCCGAAGCUUGCCUAGUUUUAUUUGUUUUUAUAGGUUUGAUGGUUUUGCCUAAUAGGAACAUUAGACUCUAGCUCCUGAAAUCUCUUUAAAAGAUUUGGGUCAUAUUUGUUGCUUGUGUACAGAGAUUGGUUUAAGCGAAAGAUUAUCCUAUAUUGAAAUGUUUAAUGUGUAACAUGUAGUCCUGGGAAAGCUUUACUUGUCGAUAUUUCUUCUAAAUUUUUUUCUCUGAAACCUUGUCUGCUGAUGCUGUGCAUGGCUUCCUUGGUGCUCCUUCCCUAUGAUAUGUAAAGAACGGCUGUCACAUAGAACACAUCUGGAUCAAUGCAAA